rnacentral:rRNA from 1 species
GGGGAAUCUUCCGCAAUGGGCGAAGCCUGACGCAGCGACGCCGCGUGGAGGACGAAGGCUUUCGAGUCGUAAACUCCUUUUCUUGGGGACGAUAAUGACGGUACCUGCGGAGAAAGCUCCGGCUAACUCCGUGCCAGCAGCCGCGGUAAUACGUAGGGGGGCGAGCGUUUGUUCGGAAUUACUGGGGCGUAAAGGGUGCGUAAGGCGUUUGUGGAAUUCUGAGGUGAAACUCCCCGGCUCAACUCGGGGGAGGUCUUUGAUACCACAUGUCUUGAGAGCUGGAGAGGGAAGUGGAAUUCCCGGUGGAGCGGUGAAAUGCGUAGAUAUCGGGAGGAACACGGAAGCGAAGGCGGCUUCUCUGGCACGAUCUGGACCCUAAGCACGAAAGCCGUGGGGACGAGAGGGGAUAAAAUCCCCUGUAACCCUGGGCCGUAAACCAGGGGGAAUUGGGGUGGGGGCCUCACAACGGCGUGCCUGCCAUAACUCAAGCAUUACCUGCCCCGGCUGGGGAGUACGGCCGGCAUGAAUAUCACUCGAAGUGAUGGGGGCCGGCACGCACAGGGGGAGCGAGUGUGUUUAAUU